AGCUGUAUCUGUGUCUGGGGCCCAGGUCCACGUGAACCCCUCACAGUCCCUGCUCACCCUGGAGGGGGAUGAUGUGGAGACCUUCAACCAUGCCCUGCAGCAUGUGGCUUACAUGAACACUCUGCGCUUUGCCACGCCCGGCGUCAGGCCCCUGCGCCUCACCACUGCUGUCAAGUGCUUCAGCGAAGAGUCCUGCGUCUCCAUCCCUGAAGUGGAGGGCUACGUGGUGGUCCUUCAGCCUGACGCCCCCCAGAUCCUGCUGAGUGGCACUGCUCAUUUUGCCCGCCCAGCUGUGGACUUUGAGGGAACCGAGGGCGUCCCUUUGUUCCCUGAUCUUCAAAUCACCUGCUCCAUUUCUCACCAGGUGGAGGCCAAAAAGGAUGAGAGUUGGCAGGGCACAGUGACAGACACACGCAUGUCGGAUGAGAUUGUGCACAACCUGGAUGGCUGUGAAAUUUCUCUGGUGGGGGAUGACCUGGAUCCUGAGCGGGAAAGCCUGCUCCUGGACACAACCUCUCUGCAGCAGCGGGGGCUGGAGCUCACCAACACAUCAGCCUACCUCACCAUU
rnacentral:sRNA from 1 species